AUAGCGUAUAUUAAAGUUGUUGCAGUUAAAAAGCUCGUAGUUGAACUUCAGACCUGGUUGGGCGGUCCGCUUAACGGCGUGUACUGUUCGACUGGGCCUUACUUCUUGGUGAGCUGGCGUGCCCUUUACUGGUGUGCGUCGGGGAACCAGGACUUUUACCUUGAGAAAAUUAGAGUGUUCAAAGCAGGCCUAUGCCCGAAUACAUUAGCAUGGAAUAAUAAAAUAGGACGUGCGGUUCUAUUUUGUUGGUUUCUAGAGUCGCCGUAAUGAUUAAUAGGGAUAGUUGGGGGCAUUGGUAUUGAGUCGCUAGAGGUGAAAUUCUUGGAUUGACUCAAGACCAACUACUG
rnacentral:rRNA from 1 species